rnacentral:rRNA from 1 species
AUGGCAAAAUAUUUCUGGACCAGUUCUCUGGAUAAAAAAUCUAUGCAUUGGGUGUCCUGGGACGAGUUGGCCACACCUAAGUGCAAAGGAGGGAUGGGGUUCCGCGAACCACAUCAGUUUAAUCUUGCCAUGCUGGGCAAACAGGGUUGGCGAUUAAUGACAAACCCAACAUCGCUGUGUGCUAGAGUGCUCAAGGGCCGCUACUUUCCCGACAGAGAUUUUAUGCACGCAUCUGCUCCAAAGUCGGCCUCGGCCACUUGGAAGGCAAUCUUGGCGGGAAGGGAGGCUCUAGGGGCCGGGCUGAUCGCUCGAGUGGGAGAUGGCAGUACGAUCUCAGUAUGGAAUGACAAAUGGAUUGCUGGAACGAUCUCGAUGAAACCAAUCUUCAAACCGCCAAGUACCACCAUUCAAAUGGUGCAUGAGCUUAUUGAUACGACCACGUGGUUGUGGCGGCAAGAUGUGGUUAGGGACACUUUCGUCGCCCCAGACGCCGAUGCCACUACUAGAAAAAGGGCUAUAGAUGGGAUUGGCACUAAUGGCGCACCAGACAAGUGGUGCGCCAUUAGUAUAUACUAA